rnacentral:rRNA from 1 species
UGGGGAAUAUUGGACAAUGGAGGCAACCCUGAUGCAGCGACGCCGCGUGAAUGAAGAAGGCCUUCGAGUCGUAAAGUUCUUUUGUAUGGGAAGAUAAUGACGGUACCAGUAGAAAAAGCCCCGGCUAACUACGUGCCAGCAGCCGCGGUAAUACGUAGGGGGCUAGCGUUGUCCGGAAUCACUGGGCGUAAAGGGUUCGCAGGCGGAAAUGCAAGUCAGGUGUAAAAGGCAGUAGCUUAACUACUGUAAGCAUUUGAAACGGCAUAGCUUGAGGAGAGUAGAGGGAAGUGGAAUUUUUAGUGUAGCGGUGAAAUGCGUAGAUAUUAGAAAGAAUACCGGUGGCGAAGGCGACUUACUGGGCUAAUACUGACGCUGAGGAACGAAAGCGUGGGUAGCAAACAGG